AACUUGCCACCCAAGCUCCACUCGUCUCAGGAUAUUCCAGAUAUUUCCAAGGAAUUUAGCGAUAGUUGACUUUGUCUGUUAGCAUUCCCUUACAGCCAGUUGGUCUGUGGUUCAUGUUUCGUUAGCUUAGUAUGCUACUUGUGUGUUACCUGACUUGAAUGCCGUGAUUUGUGAAAACAUAUAUAAAGAUGUAGCGGCAAACAUACUGAAUUGGUUCUUUCUAUCAAAAGCGGUAGGGAAUGUCUACUCCCAGCAAGGGACAUGCACAGCCACCACCGCCGCCUGUAUCUAGUAUUUCAGAAGAGUCCGACCGAGAUGGGUAUGUAUCUUAGAGCUGCGUUUCUAAACCAGCCAUGCAGGACAUUGUAAGUUGUGACUGACUUAUUUAUCUUUUGAAUCAGGGACAAAGAAUUCGCUAUGCAAGGUGUUCAACCGUUGGGCAAAGAAACCGAAGCGGUUGGUGUGCUAGAAUCUAGCAUGCACUCCUUGAGCAUUGCUGAAGAGGAGCAGCAUGACUCUCUGGAUGAGGAGGAGGCAAAUUAUAUGAGGAAUAGCAUUAUUGACAUGGAUGAUUGCUGGGAGGAUCCUAAUCAGAAAGGCUUGGAAG
ensembl:lncRNA